rnacentral:rRNA from 1 species
GACGAACGCUGGCGGCGUGCUUAACGCAUGCAAGUCGAACGGAAAGGCCCUGCUUGCAGGGUACUCGAGUGGCGAACGGGUGAGUAACACGUGGGUGAUCUGCCCUGCACUUCGGGAUAAGCCUGGGAAACUGGGUCUAAUACCGGAUAGGAGCCAUUUUUAGUGUGAUGGUUGGAAAGUUUUUUCGGUGUAGGAUGAGCUCGCGGCCUAUCAGCUUGUUGGUGGGGUAAUGGCCUACCAAGGCGGCGACGGGUAGCCGGCCUGAGAGGGUGGACGGCCACAUUGGGACUGAGAUACGGCCCAGACUCCUACGGGAGGCAGCAGGGGGGAAUAUUGCACAAGGGGCGGAAGCCUGAUGCAGCAACGCCGCGUGGGGGAUGACGGCCUUCGGGUUGUAAACUCCUUUCGCUAGGGACGAAGCUUUUUUGAAGGUAACGUGGAAAAAAACACCGGGCAAACUAGUG